AUUUACCAAACCAAGAACUACCCCAAGAGGUAUAGGCAACCACAGGUCAUUAAACUUAAGGUUGUGCAUAAAAUGUAAAAAUGACCAGAAAGGCAAAAUUAUCAGCAGCAUUGAAGAAACCUUUAAUGUUUUGUGACAUAAAAACUGGAGUACAGUUAAAUGGUCUGCAAAAUGGUUAAUACUGAACAACAGCAAACAGCAAUAUCAACAUUCUUAAGGAGACGACCUGGUUAGUCAAAUUUGCCAAAAAAAA